rnacentral:ncRNA from 1 species
ACAGUACAAACUGAGCAGGCCAGGGAUAUCCUGUGAGCCGGGUCACAAUGGUGACAAUGGAUGAUGAUUCAUAUCCAUGGGACAGU